GAUGAACGCUAGCAGAAUGCCUAACACAUGCAAGUCGAACGACUCUUGUUGAUAAUUGAUCACUUCGGUGAGAUUGCAUCGACGCUGAGAAGUGGCAAACGGGCGAGUAACACGUACUUAAUCUACCCUGUGGUCGUGGACAACUAUGGAGACAUAGCUAAUCCACGAUAUCUCAAUAAAAUGAAAAUAUAUUGAGCAAAGAUUUAUCGCCAUAGGAUGAGGGUGCGACCUAUCAGGUAGUUGGUGAGAUAAUAGCUCACCAAGCCUAUGACGGGUAGCCGGUCUGAGAGGAUGUCCGGCCGCAAUGGGACUGCGACACGGCCCAUACCCCUACGGGGGGCAGCAGUGGGGAAUCUUGCACAAUGGGCGAAAGCCUGAUGCAGCAAUUCUGCGUGGAGGACGACGCAUUACGGUGUGUAAACUCCUUUUCUGGAGGAAGACGAAUGACGGUACUUCAGGAAUAAGGGACGGCUAACUAAG
rnacentral:rRNA from 1 species